rnacentral:rRNA from 1 species
CCAACAGGGAUUCCCCUAGUAGUGGCGAAUGAAGCGGGAAAAGCUCAAGUUUGAAAUCUGAUGGGCUCGUCCCCUCAGAGUUGUAAGCUGAAGAGGCAUAGACCGACGUUGUCUGGGCCCAAUUUCCUUGGAACAGGAAGUCAUGGAGGGUGAGAACCCCGUCCGUGGCUCUGAGCCUUCGUCCUUGUGUCGUGUCCUCGAAGAGUCGGGUUGUUUGGGAAUGCAGCUCAAAAUGGGUGGUAAAUUCCAUCUAAGGCUAAAUAUUGGCGAGAGACCGAUAGCAAACAAGUAGAGUGAUCGAAAGAUGAAAAGUACUUUGAAAAGAGAGUGAAACAGUACGUGAAAUUGUUGAAAGGGAAGCGUUU